rnacentral:rRNA from 1 species
CCCGCUGAACUUAAGCAUAUCAAUAAGCGGAGGAAAAGAAACCAACAGGGAUUGCCUCAGUAACGGCGAGUGAAGCGGCAACAGCUCAAAUUUGAAAUCUGGCCCCCUCGGGGCCCGAGUUGUAAUUUGGAGAAGAUGCUUCGGGUGUGGCCCCGGUCUAAGUUCCUUGGAGCAGGACGUCACAGAGGGUGAGAAUCCCGUACGUGCCCGGUGGCCGCGCCCGUGUGAAGCUCUUUCGACGAGUCGAGUUGUUUGGGAAUGCAGCUCAAAAUGGGUGGUAAAUUCCAUCUAAAGCUAAAUAUUGGCGAGAGACCGAUAGCGAACAAGUACCGUGAGGGAAAGAUGAAAAGCACUUUGGAAAGAGAGUUAAACAGUACGUGAAAUUGUUGAAAGGGAAACGUUUGAAGUCAGUCGCGUCGGCCGAGACUCAGCCUCGCUUUUUCAGCUUGGUGCACUUCUCGGUUGACGGGUCAGCAUCAAUUUUGAUCGCCGGAAAAGGGCUGGGGGAAUGUGGCAUCUCUCGAGAUGUGUUAUAGCCCUCGGUUCGCAUACGGCGGUUGGGAUUGAGGAACUCAGCGCGCCUUUAUGGUCGAGGCUUUUGCCUACGCAACGCGCUUAGGAUGCUGGCAUAAUGGCUUUAAGCGACCCGUCUUGAAACACGG